GAUGAACGCUGGCGGCGUGCCUAAUACAUGCAAGUCGAGCGAACAGACGAGGAGCUUGCUCCUCUGACGUUAGCGGCGGACGGGUGAGUAACACGUGGAUAACCUACCUAUAAGACUGGGAUAACUUCGGGAAACCGGAGCUAAUACCGGAUAACAUGUUGAACCGCAUGGUUUAACAGUGAAAGACGGUCUUGCUGUCACUUAUAGAUGGAUCCGCGCCGCAUUAGCUAGUUGGUAAGGUAACGGCUCACCAAGGCAACGAUGCGUAGCCGACCUGAGAGAGUGAUCGGCCACACUGGAACUGAGACACGGUCCAGACUCCUACGGGAGGCAGCAGUAGGGAAUCUUUCGCAAUGGGCGAAAGCCUGACGGAGCAACGCCGCGUGAGUGAAGAAGGUCUUCGGAUCGUAAAGCUCUGUUAUUAGGGAAGAACAAAUGUGUAAGUAACUAUGCACGUAUUGACGGUACCUGAUCAGAAAGCCACGGCUAACUACGUG
rnacentral:rRNA from 1 species